rnacentral:rRNA from 1 species
UAGGGAAUCUUCCACAAUGGACGCAAGUCUGAUGGAGCAACGCCGCGUGAGUGAAGAAGGUUUUCGGACCGUAAAGCUCUGUUGUUGGUGAAGAAGGAUAGAGGUAGUAACUGGCCUUUAUUUGACGGUAAUCAACCAGAAAGUCACGGCUAACUACGUGCCAGCAGCCGCGGUAAUACGUAGGUGGCAAGCGUUGUCCGGAUUUAUUGGGCGUAAAGCGAGCGCAGGCGGAAGAAUAAGUCUGAUGUGAAAGCCCUCGGCUUAACCGAGGAAUUGCAUCGGAAACUGUUUUCUUGAGUGCAGAAGAGGAGAGUAGAACUCCAUGUGUAGCGGUGGAAUGCGUAGAUAUAUGGAAGAAUACCAGUGGCGAAGGCGGCUCUCUGGUCUGCAACUGACGCUGAGGCUCGAAAGCAUGGGUAGCGAACAGGAUUAGAUACCCUGGUAGUCCAUGCCGUAAACGAUGAGUGCUAAGUGUUGGGAGGCUUCCGCCUCUCAGUGCUGCAGCUAACGCAU